GGGGGUGUACUGGUUUCGACGGGGGUUUUGAAGCUUGAGUAGCGAGUCGAUGUUGCUGAUCAUCGUAAAAAGUGGCACUUAAAUAUAAACGCAAAAACAGAAAAAAGUUACGGGUUAGCUUUAGCAGCGUAAUUACGCUCUAAAGUUUAAUACUAAGACUUCGCAGCAUAAUUAAUGCUGCACGCCUCCCAUCUCAACCUGUGGUUUUGGGUUUCGGCGUUCAUUGAAGCAGGGAACCGUUUUAGGUAGUGCCUCGCACCUUUAACGAUCAAGAGGCUGGUUCACUCUUUUCUUUGUCAUUGGAGAAGAGGGGGAAUGAGAAAAUAAGCAAUGACUGCACUCGGAGAAGCUCCUGUGAAUGGAUUUUCGGACAGGGGUUCGACUCCCCUCACCUCCACCA
rnacentral:tmRNA from 1 species